CACAUGCAAUCUCUAGCAAAAUCAUAAUCUUAUUGGAAAAUGUAAUGACUACAUGUGGGUAAAUACCCUCAACAUAUAAAAGCAAAUGAAUACCAGUCUCACCUCACUAUGGAAACUCCCUGAUGUUUGUUUGUAGGUGCGUCAUUAGAUUUGGCACGGUUUUUGGAACCGCCACAAACUUCACAGUGAACAUUAACCAAUCCCUCACCAAGAGACAGAGAGAGCUGCCAGAAAACAAAAAACAAAAAACAAAAAACAAAAACACUCACCUGAUGUCACACUGACACUUAGUCUUGUCAGGUUUGAAUCACGGUUGUUCUGUCCUUCUUGGGAAAAACAAAACGAUUGGAAAUCGUUUAUUUGGAAAUUAGUUGAGCAGAAGUGAAUAAAAUGCCUGCUGGGACAUCUGCGUCUCUCUGCUGGAUUCUACUCUCUGUCUGCCUCCUGUUUGCCUCUACAGAUGGGAAAAUCAUCAAAGCUGAGCCUGGACAGAACGUCACUCUGCCAUGUCGAACCCCGCAUAUCAGUGUCCCCAUCAGAUCUGUGGAGUGGUUCAGACUUGACCUCCAGGAAGGACAUGUCCUCAUGUACCAGGAUGAGCAGUUUAUUUCAUUGAACCAGCUUCCAUCGUUUGUGAACCGGGUGGAUCUGCAGGACAGACAGAUGAAGGACGGAGACGUGUCUUUGACUCUGAGGGAUGUGACGAGUGACGACACUGGAACAUUUCAGUGUUACGUUGUCCAGAGUGAAACAAAUGGCAGGAAAAGUAUUGUUGAUCAUAUCAGCACCGUCUACCUGAGAGUUGUAGGUAGCAGCGAUGGACAUCCAGCGAUGCGUUGUAGACGUUUAACACAAUUACAAUUGAAUCUUUUAGCGUAUUUCUCUUUUUUACUUAAAACCAUUGUUAAGGAGAUUUAAAAAAAAAAAUAAAGUAAGUUUUUAUUGUCUUUUUCGUUAUUAUUUUGCUGUAAAAGGUAAUAAUGCCAAUGAAGUCCUUAUAGUGCAGCCAGUCCCUACUUUAACACUGCUGCAAACCACUUUCACCAAAAUAAUUUUUCUCCUAUCAUUUUUUUUCUUUUAUCAGGUUAGAUCUUUGAUGAUUUCCUUGCAGAGGUUGAUUCGUUAUUAACAGCUUUGAUUCUGCUGUUUGGAAACUUGUGCUCCAGUUUAGUUUAUUCCCAGCAGUAAUACAUUUGUUGACCAUAAAUUCUUUUAUAGUUUUUAUGUAUUUGUUUAUUCAUUUUAACAAUGAAAACAAGAUGAUAACUAAUGCAACAGGAGAUAAACAAUAAUGAAAUUAUUUUGUUAAGAAAAAAGAGAUGAAAAUGGAGCGAUGUGUUCCGAGGAGUUUUUCUGUAUAAAACACGCCCAUCAGAAGGCCUGCAACAGUAACAACUAUCUCUCAUGUUUCCUGUUUUUUAUGAAAAUAGAACAAAAUGUCAACACUUGGGAUUUAUAAAAAAAAAUCAUUUUUUUAAUGUAUUUAAGGAAUGCGCACUACUUACAUGCCCAACACAAAACAAUAAAUAAAAUGAAAAGCUUCUUGUACUGCUAUCUAGGAGCCAUGUUUGGAUUGUAACUCAUGUUACAAGUUCACGAGUUUUCUGUCUUUGAGUACAUGGCAUGGUCAGAAGCUCCUGCACAUAAAGAGUUAAAGCAGAUGCAGUAAAAUAAGGAGCGUAAAGUCAAACUCUGAGUCUGACUUACAGCAAGACUGUCUGAUGCUUCCUGCUGCACCAAAAAGCAGUUCAUUUACAUUAAACAUUUCUGUGAAAAUCAACUUGAUGUUUGUUAAAAGACGAAUGAGAAACUUUUGAAUCAGUUAGUUGUUUUCUCAUAAAUUUACUAAAUAACCAUACACAAAGAACUUUGACAUUUUGGUAACCUUGUUGUGCAAUUCCAACAGGUUCAUUCUUUUCAUAUGGGCGUAGUAAUUUCAGUGGGAGAAACGUUUCGUCACACAUCCAAGUGACUUCUUCAGUCUCAGCUGACUGCAGGUUUCCCCAAUCUUAUAAACAGUACAUUUGGAUAAUGACUGAAACCAGCCCACUGAAAGAACAAUGAGCUGGGAGGUCAGUUCCUUCAUCAUUAAUAUGUAAAUUCUCAUGACCACAGGUGAAGUGCCGUAAGAGCUCACUGGAACAACACCUUUAAUUUAUUUAUGAAGAAUUAUGAAAUAUGAUCAUCAUAUUUUGCUUAAUCUUGUUCAAAUUCAGUUAUCAAUUAGGUGUUUUUAAAUGCAUAAGACCUCAUAAGGACAAGUCAAAGCUGUGUAAGUCAUUUUUAUAAUGUGAUGACUGGUGCACAAACUCAUUCACCAAGUAACCCAAAAGAAAACAUUCCACCUUAACUUUUUUUUCAUGUCUUUAUUUUAAUCAGUAAACAUUAAAGUGGAAUAUCCACUUCUUCUUUAACGUUCAUGAAAACUAAUGUAAAUGAGAAUGUUGCUGUUUUCUCGUUCAUUUACAUGUACUCUGCACUUCACUGAUUAUGUCAUGCAAGUUUUAAAAUAAACUGCAAACGCUUGGUGAGCAUUA